AAACAUCAAAAAGGGGAAGUAUGAAUGGGAUAAUUGGCCACAGGAGGAGGUGGACCACUAUAGAGUGGAGUAUGCUUCCCGGAUACUAUUCAGUGAGAUGAAUAAAGAAAGAGAUCGGGCAAUUAGAGAGAGUAGUGCUAUAAGGCUGUCGAAGCCAUCCUCUGUAUUAUUGAGUCCGUUUUGUCAGAUUAAUUCUGCUGAUAUAGAAACUGCGUAAUCCAACUGCUGGGUAGUUUGUAAA